CGAACGGGUGAGUAACACGUGGGUAACCUGCCCAUCAGAGGGGGAUAACRCUUGGAAACGGUGCUAAUACCGUAUAACAAUCGAAACCGCAUGGUUUUGAUUUGAAAGGCGCUUUCGGGUGUCGCUGAUGGAUGGACCCCGGUGCAUUAGCUAGUUGGUGAGGUAACGGCUCACCAAGGCACGAUGCAACCGACCUGAGAGGGUGAUCGGCCACAUUGGGACUGAGACACGGCCCAAACUCCUACGGGAGGCAGCAGUAGGGAAUCUUCGGCAAUGGACGAAAGUCUGACCGAGCAACGCCGCGUGAGUGAAGAAGGUUUUCSGAUCGUAAAACUCUGUUGUUAGAGAA
rnacentral:rRNA from 1 species